CUGCAUUCAGCUGUAAGUGUAAAAAGAUCCACUUAGAACAUUCUGGUUAUACAGUACUAGAUGUAUAUAGGGGUUUAUUUACUGAAUAGCGAUUUAACAAACCAACAAGCAGACUUAGACACAAAUGGAUGAGAGGAGAAUUUUUUUUAUUUAUCAGCCCUGUUAUAAUGGUCUACAUUACGAUUUUGUUAGCGAAUAAACCAUUUACAUGCAUUGAAUAAUAUUUUUAUUAGGUUAUUGUUUACAUCAGCGUUUGCCAAACUGAGUGCCGCGACGUGCACACAGGGGUGCCGUGGAAUGUUCGUAGCACAGGGGAAACAUUACCGCUAAGCAAGACCCCUGUAAUGUCGGCCGGCUGGGAGGAAAUGACAGCCUGUCACUUCCUCACAGCAUCCUGCAGGGAGGCAGCGUGGGAGGAGGUAGCCACAGCAUGAGUGCACAAAGAGCUCCAGACUCCUCAAUCCCAUCAGCAGCAGGACUCCAAGCCACCCUUCUGGCACAUAAGGUAUGCUGACAGGAGGGUGGCUGGAGAUAUUUAAAUAAAUCACUUGUGUGUGUAUGAGUUUGUUUGUGUGUAUUUGUGUGAGUGUGAUUAUGAGUGUGUGUGUGUGUGUGUGUGUGUGUGUGUAUGAGUGUGUGAGUGAUUAUGAGUGUGUGUAUAAGUGUGUAUAUGAGUUUGAUUGCGUAUGAGUUUAAAUUUGUGUGUGUUAGUAUGAGUGUGUGCAUGUGUAUGAGUGUGUGUAUAUGAGUGUCUGUGUGUGUGUGUGUAUGAGUGUGUGAGUGAUUAUGGGUAUGUGUGUCAGGGUGCUUGUGAGUGUGUGUUUGUCAGGGUGUGCAUAUGUGUGUGUAUAUAUAUAUAUAUAUAUAUAUAUAUAUGUCAGUGUGCUUCUGUGUCUGUGUACAUAUCUGUUUAUGUGCGUCUGUGUGUCAGGGUGUGUUUUUAAUGUCAGUGUGUAUCUGUGUCAUGUGUGGGCACGUAUCAAUGUUUGUGUGUGUCAGGUUGCAUGUGUGUAUAUGUCGAUGUUUAUCUAUGUGCGUGUGUGUGUCUGUGUAUAUCUAUAUGUGUGUAUGUAUCAGUGUCUAUAUAAAUUUGUGUGUAUGUGUCAGUGUUUUUCUAUGCAUCUGUGUGUUAAUGUGCAUGAAUAUCUGUGUAAGUAUGUAUGUAUGUAUGUGGUAGUGUAUGUGCAUACACCCAAGCAGUCAAACACCAGCACAACAUACAAGCACACUUCUGCAAUCUAACUCAAAUAUUACAUACACACACCCCUGCAUUCAAACUAAAAAAAAAUAAUAUACAAACACAUCCCUUCACUCAAACACAAGUAAUUCAAAGUGGUUUAGAGGCUGGUGAGGUCAAAGGUGGUUAAAUGGGAAUAUUUAAGUGACUGAGAAUUAGAGAUGGAAUAUUAGAAGUAAGAAAGUAGGGUAGCGAGGUAGCAAGGUGGUCAAGGGGGGGGGUAGGGGUGAUAAAUAAAGGCAAUGUUAGCAGAGCAGGAUUUGAAAAGGCAAAUCGAAUGAAUUUUGAUUGAUGGGAAAGAGAGGGAAGGGGUGUGGGUAGAGGUUUGAGGGAGCAGUGAGGCGAGAGUAGAAACCCUACACCACCACCUUUACAUUCAGAGUGGGUUGUGGGUAAGUUGAAGACCACCAAAGGAUAAAGAUGCAGGGGUAGCUGUGUCAGAGGCAGAGAGCCAUGUUUCUGUUAAGGCUAGUAAAUCUAGGGUACAAGAGAUGAAGAGGUCGUGGACAGCAGUGGAUUUUGUAAUGUUGCCAACAGAGGCAGUAUUGAAGGAGGAUUUAGAGGAAGAGUGACAUGAGAUGAUGGUUGGACAGCAGGAUUUUUCAGGCAUCUUCAGAUAGAUAAACAUUUAGAAACUAGUAUCUGUGUUCUAUAUAUUUAAGGUAAAAAUAAAGCAAUAAUAUUUCCAACAGAAAUAACCUUUAUUCUUAUUUUUUCAUAAAUAACAUAAAUGGUAUAAUUGAACACAUAGACAUCUCUAUUUGUUGCUUAUUACUAACAACACACCUUGGAAAGCUAAAGAAAACAAUGAUUUAAGGGAAUAUAAUUAUAGAAAUAGAUAGCUCUUACAGAAUAAAAGGAAGACCAUUCAUUUUUUUAGGCUUUAUAAUGUUCCAAAUGAUCCAAGCGCACACAAGAGGCAUUCUCUACCCUUUGGUUUCCUGGUCAGGUACCCAUCCUAAUAAUAUCACUUAAACUUUAACAGCCAUCCGAGUAUAAUACUAGGCAAUGCUGAGCAAUAGAUAAUGACAGUGAAUGAGCCCUUAAUGAUUUAUCCGGCUUUUGUAGUGUACGAUUUCGCAACCUUGCUAUUUGUAAUAGAAAAGAAAAACCGGAUUGUUGAAAGGAGCAUUAUUGCUUUUGCUAGCCUUUGUGCCUGUACAUCAAAAACUGUUUGUCCUUUUGAUGGUAGGAAAAGAAGUAUCCCCUGCUGAACUUCAAAAUAUAUAUUGUAGUUGCCUGUGUGAUAGGAAUAGACUAUAUUUACUUUCUGAAGUCUAAUUAUAAUGGACCCACAGGAAGCAUUGUACAGUUUAUAUAACUUCACAGGAAUGUCUCGUAUAAAGAGAUUUUUUUGGAAAUACAGACUAAAGAAUAAAUGGUGUCUUCAUCUAAUUGUGCAUUGUAUAAUAUUUUUUGUAAAGUAUGAAGUGUCCACUAAUGAAAGCAAGAACUUUAUUUUUUUUUUAUUUAUUUUUUUACUGGUUAAUGAAAUAUCUAUAGAUUUUUCAUACCAACAUUUCGCUCAUUUGCAAAAGCUUUUCUCUUUGUUUGGACAUUUUCCGGUUACAUUUUGUUGUAUUAAAUAUGAGGCAGAAUUAUGUCUAGACAGUUCGGUAAGCAUAUUUGCAGAUGUAAAGUAGCCUAUCCUGGGCAAAUUAGGAAUGUGUGCUAAGAAUGUGGUGUGCUGGAUUUAAAGAGAUACUUUACGCAUCAUAAAAACGUAUGAUCUUUAUAUAGGUUACUGUGUAGAGAGGUCCCUGUACCCUGGCCUUCCAACACUCAGUAUCUGAAUUUGUAAUCAGUUAAUGCAGAUGUACAUUUACUCUCUUUUUAAGUAAUUUUCUGGGUAUGCUGUCCUCCCUCAGCCCAUGCAAGCAUGUCUGUUGGUUGCCUGCGGAAAGGGCACAUGUGAAACAAGUUCCCACAUUCUCUUAGAAUUCUAUGAAGGAGCCAAUCUUGCACAAGAGCGUGUUACGAAACAAGAACGGAGCUCUCAGUAAGAUGACAAAAGCCAAAACUUCUGACUGGUGAUGUCCCGAACGGUUCGCGAACGGUUUGCGAACGGUUCGCCGUGGAUUCAUCAUUGAGUAAACUUUGACCCUGUACCUCACAGUCAGCAGACACAUUCCAGCCAAUCAGCAGCAGACCCUCCCUCCCAGACCCUCCCACCUCCUGGACAGCAUCCAUUUUGAAGCUGCAUUCUUAGUGAGCUGUCCAGGAGGUGGGAGGGUCUGGGAGGGAGGGUCUGCUGCUGAUUGGCUGGAAUGUGUCUGCUGACUGUGAGGUACAGGGUCAAAGUUUACUCAAUGAUGAGUCCAUGGCGAACCGUUCGUGGCGAACCGUUCGCGAACCGUUUGGCGAACCGUUCGGGACAUCACUACUUCUGACAGCUUUCAAGUUUGGUUCAUUCCUGUGUUAAAAGAAAGCUGUUAUCAUUCUUGAUUACUAAUGAAAUUAACAGAUUACAUGUAUUAUAGCCUAAAAGUCUAUUAUUUUGUUAUGAAUACAUAUAAGUUAAUACAUUUUCAGAAAAUAACUGACCUACUCUUGCUGUAUGGGGGCAGCCAUCUUUAGCCCUCUUUGGUUGGAAGCACAUCUUUUAUUCUCCGACCGUGCAAUUUGAAGGCCUUUAACCAACCCACAAUUAACUUUCGGGACGCCCAUCGUUUGUCAGACUUUCUGUAUACUAGCUGUUUAUUAGCUGCAUGAUUUGUGCUUGAAUAAGCCGCGCUUCUGACCAAAGAGGACAUAAAGUUGUCUAAGCCAGGAAAUACAGUCCUAUACAUUACAAAUAAUAUACACAAGCUGCAUAUAAGUAUUCAUUAAAGAAACAAAAAAAUAAAACAAUGCAAUGGGGAUUGAUGUAGAUAUAUUAUGCAGUUAUGUCUCCUAUAUUUUUGUGACAGCCUGACACAAUCUUGAGAAAGUGCGCAUUCCUUUCUAAUCAUGACAUUUGCCAGUUCCUCACUACUGUCCGUGAAUGGCGUACAUCCCACACGGGAAAGAGAAUUACGGAGAUAGUCUUCAUUUGCAGUCAUUGCACAUUUGCAAAAAACAUUUGUAAAAGACUCGUUGUGUGACUACUAUGUGUGAGUAUCAACUCUGCAUAGCUUUCUUACAAUUAGAAAAUUGCUUUUUCUGCUUACUUGCUAUUUAUUUCUUUAAUAUAGUUACAUAGGCUGAAAAGAGACUUGCGUCCAUCAAGUUCAGCCUUCCUCACAUUUGUUUUUUGCUGUUGAUCCAAAAGAAGUAAAAAAAAAACCAGUUUGAAGCACAAUUUUGCAACAAGCUAGGAAAAAAAAUUCCUUCUUGACCCCAGAAUGGCAGCCAGAUUUAUCCUUGGACCAAGCAGUUAUUACCCUACAUUGAAAGAUUAUAUCCUUUAAUAUUCUAUUUUUUUUUUUGCAAGCAUGCAUCUAGUUGCUGUUUAAACAUUUGUACAGACUCUGAUAAAACGAUGAUGAUAAUACAUAUGUUUUUAUUAUUAUUAUUUUUAUUUUUUAUUUAUUUUUUGCUUUUUUGAAGAAUUUUAGCUAGUGAACAAUUCUGGAAUUGGAGCGAAAAAAAUAAGAACUCUAGAAGAAUUAUGCUUCUUAUUAGCACAGGACAAUGAUGACUUUAUAAAGAAUUAAUUUUCAUUAAAAAGCUUUGUACGCAAAAAAAAGAGAGAUUCCUGUGUCUGUAAAAUAUUGUCUUUUUUUUCAUUCCACUAGUUCAAAGGAAGCGCAGAUACAUAUGUUUUGUAUUAAAAGAAACACUCCUUCUAUGAUGUUCCCAGAAUGUUAUAAGGGCCAGGCACCUCAAUUGCCCUUCUUUUCAAAACAUCAUGAAAGGGAGACUCCUGCUUAUGUCACCCAGAGGUAAGAGACUACAACUGUCUCGUUUCCAAGGGUCUGGUUGUAAUCAAGAUGUCCUGCAAUGCCUUUGUUUAGCUGGGGUCCAUAAAGGUUACGUAGUUUAAUGUGUGCAUGUUGUUCUACUAUACCCUUACAUAUUAGAUACAUCUAAAUCAAUUUUAACAAAGUACUCUAAUACAAAAUAAACAAACAAAAACAUAGUAAUUAAAUAAUUGAAUUGAUUAAAAGGUAACAUAUUUAACGUCCAAUUUAAUCUCUUUUUUUAAAUAACAGAUGAAAUGAAUAUCUUUAGUAAUGCGAUUUUAUAUAUAUUUUCUAACAAUAGUUCACAUAUAAUUAAAACACAAUGGAAGGUAUGAUGCAAUAAAAGUUGUGACUUAAAUUUCCAAAGGAGGUUCCUUACUGCUAGCUCACACAGAGAUCUCUUUAAUAAAAUGUAAGUUUUAUUUAGUUAAUAAACAAGUUGUGAGCAAAAGAAAAUGAGAAAGAUUGCUAAAUGCAAUUUUUUUUAGAUUUAAAUUGGUGACAUGUGUGUUAUAAAGUAAACACUUUAGAGGAAUUCCUGAUUUGGAUUUAAAAAAAAAAACCUGCCCAUAUAUAUAUUUUCAUUUAACAUUCUAUAUACAGACACUUCUCACUUACCGACCGGGUUCCAUUCCGAUGACCUGGUCGUUGAACGAAUUGGUUGGUAAGUGAGGAGUUAAGGGAUUCCCUGCUCUGGUGCAUUCUUCUAUGUUCGGGGAAACUUAGAAACUUAUAAAGUUAGGAAAAGUGUUUUUUUAAAAUAUUUUUAUCAUAUUUUAUAAUUUUUUUAUAGUAAAUUAUGAAAAUAAUGGUAUCUUUAGAAAGACCAUUUAAUGGCGAGAAAAACAGUAUAUAAUAUGUGUGGGUACAGUAAAUAAGUAAGACUAAAAUGACAGCUAAACACAAACACCGCAGAAAAAAACAGCCCUGGUACCAAACGGUAAGAAAAUUGAAAAACAGUCUGGUCACUAAGGGGUUAAAUGACUUGACCAGCUUUCAAAAUUCAAGAUAAAAUAUCCAAGUUUGAUAAGAGCUUUAUCUUAGUUUAAAUUGAGAUUUCUUUCCAGCUCUAAUUAACUCUUAAUUUUCCAAGUUAAUGGUAAAAUAACCGCAGGACACUGUUUAGUGAAUAGAUCCCUAUAAUUUGUUAUGCUCUACUGCAUUCUCUCUCUGGUUAGUAAAGGCAUUGAAUACUUUGACUUUAGCUGCAUGGAAUUUGUAAGUCCUGUCUAAUUCCCUUCCCUAAAGGAAUAUAUGGCACUUUCACCAGUAUGUUAAAUUGAUUAGUGUAUUUUGUUUUAUAUUUAGUAUCUAUGCGUAUCUAAAGAAGAAACAUGACAAAGUCCACAUUGUGACUGAUAUACAUGUUCUAGCUUGCCUGAGAGUAGUGGGAGUUACCCUCCUGGGUAACAGCUGCUAAUUUUGCAGUUUCCACCAUUAACAUAGUUUCUCAUCCAUUCAUGAAAUUUGGGAUUCAGAGAGACUGCAACGCUCCCCAACUCGAAAGCUGGCAUAUUACUUAUACGUUAUUAACUAAAGUUAGAAUUCAAAGUGAUUUCCAAAUCUAAGGUAAAAUAGCUGAACAGGAAACAUUCAUUAACUCGGCUAUUCUUCCAGUUCAACUAUUUUAGUCUUAAAUUUGAAAUUCACUUUACACUCACUUUGAGUUCCCACUUUAGUGAAUAGGGGGCUGACAUGUUGGAAGUAUAACUGUCACCAAUCUCAGAGCUACCCAUAGAUUAAAAGAAACCUAGAUCUAACUAUAGCCUAGCCCAAACCAUAUCAUAGCUAGAUAACUGACUCGAAUUAGGGAAACGUCAUGCCAUUUCUGGGUUCUCAAUACAUUUAUAAACCGCUACACUUGUGCACAGCAAAACAAAAAGAUUGGUUUGUCUAAAUCGAUUUGUUGACAAAAUAAGUUUGUUUAAGAAUUUCGCGAUUUGGAUGAACCAAAAUGUUAAGUGUUAAAAAAAUAAAGACAUUAAAAUGUAAAAAAAAAAAAAGCAAAAUCCUAUGAUGGUUAAUAUAACCCCCAUGGUAAAAUUAAGGAGGUUUAAUAUGCCACAGCUGAAGUGUGAGGGUCUAAUGGAGGUAUUAAUUCUCUCUUGUGCUAAUAUGGGGGUUAUAUUGACCACCAUACACUUGUUUCUAAUUUUUCUUUACUGGCCAGAAAGCACUGGCAUGCCAACCACAUCUUAAUUACAAUACAAAUUAAAUGGCUCAUCCACUGCCUAUUUUGUUUGUUUUGUGAAACAUGGUGUUUUGUAGAUUUGAAUAACCCCCCCCAAAAUGAAUCACAAUUUAUUUUAAACCAUAUGCACAAGUCCAUAUACCACGUAACCUUUUGUUUUAUGGCUUAUGAUGAUAUUUACAAAACACACUUCACAGAUAUCUUUUAUGUAAUGUGAUAGUUUCAGGGUUAUGGUUAGGACUAGAGUUGACUAGAGUUAAAGGUAAAGGGACACUCCACUGCGCAAAUACAAAAUAAAUAAAAAUCAAUGUUUAGUAGAUAUACCCCAAAUGAAAACUUGCAUGCGUUUAAUUAUGUAUUUUUUUCAUUAAGGAUAUAUCUAAAAUCAGCUUGCAAAUCCUGCAGUUAUGUUGUCUGCAGCCUUCUAACCCCACCCAGACUGUAUGUGGUUGUCCAACAACAGACUUCCCAAUUCAGCUCAAUGAGAAGUCUUUGUAAGUCAGGUGCUCUGGGCAAUUGCUGCCUCUUGAGUUUAGCUCCAUUGAGCUAACCAAACCAAGAAGUAACAUGACCUGUUGUCUGCUUAAAAGACAAGGGGGUGUAACCAGGAUAAUUUAUAAAAAUGUCUAUUGAAAUCUGCACAGACAGUAGGCAGUUUAGAGGCAGCAGCUUCAGACUUUAAUACAAGUAAGAUUUUACUAUAUUUAGGGAUGCAAGGGGGAACCAGGAGGGCUAGAUGGUGGUUUUAACACUAUAGGGUCAGGAACAUGUUUGUGUCCCUGACUCUAUAGUGUUCCUUUACGUUUUCAUAACAAACUACAAAAUUCUUCUUCUUCAGUGGCACUUAUUUGUACAAAGACAGUGUGAAAUGCUAUAUUGUAACAUAUCUAUAUAUAUAUAUAUAUUACGACUGGGUCCUGAAAAGGUGCUAGGUAAAUGUUUAGGAAUAUUUGCUAAAGGAGUUAUUUAAGCACAUUAGGAAGUUACAUUUAACUACAUGUGUUUACACAGGUGAGAACAACAAUAGUUACAAUGUGAUCCGUUCAAAUAUCAAAACAGGAUGAAAGGAAAAAGUCUCAAUGCAAAUGUCUCGCCUCUGGAACUGUUUGCAAAUAGGAAACCAAUAUUCGCACAGCUAGUAUAUUAUACGUUAAUUUAUUGUUAUUUAUGCUGUUUACAAUAUCCACAAAUGAUAGGCAAUACAUGUGUGUUUAGAUAGAUAGAUAGAUAGACAGACAGACAAUAUACUUUAUGUAUAUGCUUAUGUUACAAAUAUUAACUAACCUGUGAUUUGCUUUCAAGAAAACCAUUUAUAUUGUAAAAUAAAAUAUGUAUUUGUUUUUUUAAAGCCAAUAUCCAAAUUUAAGAAAAUAACUCAUAAACCACAACAAAAAGCAACUAUAACUAAAAUGCUAAAUUAAUAUAUGGUUACAUAGAGCGUGAAGGUGAUACAUUUACGUAAGUGGUUUAAAUGACAACUAUAAUUUUAGUAUAAUAAUAUACUAUAAUAUUAUUGUAAAUAAAAGAUUGAGAGAGUGCGUGUAUUUAGAGUCUCCUUGUGCAUUAAGUGUUACAUUCACAGUCAGACCUCUAAACGGCAAUGCUACGGGAGGAAAUGAAUCCAUUGAAAGGUGGGAGAUGUCAAGGUUCCCUAUUUAGCAAUUAAAUCCUUCUGGUAAAUCUAUAUUGUUCUGUCUUCCUCUCAAUGUCUCCCUUCCUGCUAUAUACCUGCUGUCUUUCCAUUUCUGGGGGAUUUAAAAUGUCUAGUAUAAUCCAUAUUACAUAAAGCACAUUUUGACAUUACCAUUAUUCCUGCCUCUGUUCCAGAAUCAGUGAUAUCACUGGCAACUUUUUAUUAUUUCGGAAAUGUUUUACCAUAAUAAGUACUUUGGAAUUUGUUUUUCAAGCACAUUUACAAUAGAACUCAAGAUAAACUGUAUACAAUGUACAUUUACAGUUCACAGGUACACAUGGAAUAAGAUUACUUUGUGCAUAUGUAUUAUUGUAUCUUAAUUGGAUGAUUCAUAAAACAUAGCUUUUUUUAUUUUUUAUUUUUAAAUUUUGCUGUGUAUAUCUCUGUAUAAUAUUGCUUGUUUCUGUAGUAAUAUGGAGCGGAGAACGAGUUACAACUGCAGUUUAUAUUUACUUUAUUUUAAACUUCCUUUGUAGAGUACAUCUUAAAAUGUCUCUAUGCUGUUAUUAGUCUAUUGCCUUACGCGUUACUUAGUUAUACAUGUAAAUACAGAAACAUUUGGGGUUAUUUGUAAAGAGGAAUUCUGGGACAAAUUUCUAAAAGUGGAGCAAUCAACAAAUACAUUCUGUUUGUUUCCAUGGUGACGUCUCAACAUUUAGAAUUUUCCCGUAGAAUUACUCUCCGUACAUAACCCUAAAGAUUCUACUGGCAGAAAAAGUCUAGUUUUUUAUUCCGUAUCCAAAGUCUUUCUUGAAUCUACUUACUGCUCAGGGCAGCAGUAUGUGUGUCGCAAACGUUCCUAGCCUCUCCACUAUGGAGUAAUACAUUUUCAAUUGCCAAUGGCUAGUGGGCGUUUUGAGCCCAGCAAUCAGUAUAGUCAUUCCUGUUUAUCUAUACCAUAUAAGGCAUUGUAUGGUUUAUUGUAGUCUGUCAAUAAUCCCUGUAGUGCAUUUAUUGUCUUCAGGGCCCUUAAUACCACCUAACCUACUUGGCAACUAAAAUAUAGGUAUAACGAUUGAGCUGUAAAGGUUACUGUGAUAUGUGGGAGGUGGGGGAGGACUACAUUAAUAUUCCCACUGCAGAGGAUCAGAAAGAAUACAAAUUAAUUUCUCUGCUGGGUGAAUACUAGUACCGGUGCAAAGGAAAAAGCAAAUGAGGCUUAAUGGACCAAAUUUCAUUUUAAAUUGCUUUGAAUUUAGCAUGUAUAUGCAUUUCAUAUUAAGUAAAUGUUCAUGUUCAUUACUAAUUUUUUUAAAUUUUCAUAAAUGUGCAUUUUACGGCCCAAACUGUCAGGGCACUUGCUGGUGGGAUCAUUCUUGGUGGGAUCAUUCUGAUAUACAAAUGCUAAACAUUCUCUUAGUAAUGGUACAAGUGAGCCAAAAUAUUUUUGAGAUCUUAGCGCGGUCUAACUGAAGGCAAGCUGGUGAGUUUCUUUUGUCCGUUCUCAUAUUCUGUGUUUUUGAAGAUUGGAAUUCUGCAAGCAAUUAUAGAGUUCUGUGGUUCUCGGUAUGCAAGGAUGUAUCAGUCACUGUGUGCUGUAUUUAGGUUUAUGACAAAUUCCUAUAGUACAUUUCUAUGCGAUUUAGGUUUUAUUUGCCUCCCUCUGCUGUAUUUUCUUACGCAACUCAGUUUUGAAUACGACAGUGCGUGAUUACCCAAAUUUACCAUAUGAACACAAAUUCAUCAAUGUAGAAUAAAAAAAAAGUUUACACUACAGAUGUUGCCAGUAUAAUAAUUAUUAUUAUUUAGAGAGUACCAACAUAUUCUACACUGCACAGGUAGGCUCAACAGAACACAUUUGAUUUUCCGACAUACCACGUUUGUGUAAUUAGGUGCCUCUCAUAACAUUCCGAUCCCUUGUUAUAUGUUGUUGAGUGAUUUUUCUUAUUUUAAGCCACUUUUUUUGGAAUCACAUAGGUUACUUAAAGAAUUUUUCCAAUUUAGCUAUUGUAACGUAAAAUUUUUAAAUUCAUUUGUAAUUUAUUUUUACAGAUUAAAGACAAGAAGAAUGCAUCUUUUAUAUCUUUCGCAUCUUUUAAAAGAAGAAAAACUACCACAACAAGAGGACAUAGUCUUAAAUUAGAGGGGCAAAAGUUUAAAAAUAAUAUCAGGAAGUAUUACUUUACAGAGAGGGUAGUGGACGCAUGGAAUAGCCUUCCAGCUGAAGUGGUAGAUGUUAACACAGUAAAGGAGUUUAAGCAUGCGUGGGAUAGGCAUAAGGCUAUCCUAACUAUAAGAUAAGGCCAGGGACUAAUGAAAGUAUUUAGACAAUUGGGCAGACUAGAUGGGCCGAAUGGUUCUUAUCUGCCGUCACAUUCUAUGUUUCUAUGUUACAUUUAUGUAAUUCUUCAACAUUAACACUAACAGAUUAUCUGCCCCUCCACCCAACAUAAAGGGAAAAAAAUGGAACGAGGAUAUCAAAUAAAUGCUUGUUUAUAUUUGAUAAAUACAGAUUUCCAGAAAUAAUCCUCACAGCUGCAAGUCGCUUUCUAAAGUCUCCUUUUGCUUUAAUUUUCCAUUCAACUUCAUGGAAAAAAAAUGAAGCUUUAGAUUUAUUUAGCGUUUUUUUCCCUAUGUGUUUGUUUUCCUAUAAUUAACUUUUCCCCUUCAUUUAAUUAUGCUGCUAUGUGGUAUAGACACUAUGUUAUUAAACAUCACAAUAUAGUGAAACGGAAAAAUGUGAAAGGAUAAUAGUAUCGUCUAUGGCUAGCUAGAGAGUUCAGUAUGUUACAUUGUAUCUAGAAUGGAAAAUACGAGAGAGGUGCAAUCCAGUGCUUGAGUGGUAAAACCACAUGAUAGAGUAUGAGAGUAUGUAGAUUUCAGAGUUCUUGGUUAACUCAUGUUAGAAAAGUCUACAUGGAAAUAUCUUCACUUGGAAUAUGGCUUUAGGCAAUUUGUAACAGAAUAACUUAACUCGGUUAUUUUUUUUAAAUAAAUCAAUAAAAUUUAUAUUACAAUUUGAGUGAUUACAUUGUAGACAGAUCUCCAUUACUUAGAACAUUUUAUUUAGGCAAUUAUGUGCUUUAUCUGAUAGCUAGGAAUUAAAAAAAAAAGUCAGACGUUUUGUAAAACAUGAUUGUUCUAUAAACAAGCCUCAAUUUGUUGUAAGAAAAAAAAAAUAAAAACAGCAUGCAGGAUUGUUCUUAAUCAUUGUCAUGGUAUUUUCAAUGGGUCUUCCACUGUUGGUAAGGGACAUUUCCUUUUAUCAGGCUCGUGGACACUGCCCACAAUUAGAUGUUUAUUGUAGUAAUUCUGCCAUCCCCAAUGGAACAGAGACAACUUUGAUUGACGAAGCAGGGGCGCACCUAAGUUACAUAGCAGCCCCCGUCCAAACUGUAGAAUAAUUUUUUGUGUCUCUCUACGCACCCCUCACCAUCCCUUUGUUAGGAAGAUUACAGGAACAUAUUCACAAUCACAUACACAUUCAUAUACAUACAUAUUUCGACAUACAUUCAAAUAUGCACACGCUGACACAUACACAGAAACACACAGUAUAUAUACAUACUCGUAGACUCAUACGCAAAAACACACAUGGACACAAAUACACACAAAAACACCCCUACACAAACAUUCACACAUACACACAGACUUCACACAAACACAGGCUCACACACACUCACACAUUCAGAGACUCAUAUACACAUGCAUAUUUAUAUAUGUGCACAUUUAAUAUUACUUUUCUUUCUGUUAUUUUUUAGGAAAGGUGGGUCACAGUGAGGUCUGCCCAGCCUUCCUGUUCUUACCUUUAAAAAAUGAGCUGGAGUGCCCUCCAUUUGUCCAUUUGCUCUGUAUUGAUGCCAGAACCGAGUUCCAGUACCAGAAAAGAGCGCCCAAGGAACCUGGGAAAUCAGUGCAGAGAGAGAUAAGCAGCCUUCAUGUACCUGUCCCACAGACACAGAACAGGCACCUGGAACCUGGCACUACCUCCAGCAAUGCAUCUAUAGGCAGAUACCUGCUCUGAUGGAAGGGGGUGCUCUGUGCAAACCCUUGCCAUCUGUCACCCAGAGCGGACCACCCCACCCCCUUUAAUAUGCUUCUGCGAAGAAUAAUCUAAUGGAAAUGUUUUUUUGAGAAUAUAUUUAGUAUAUAUUAUAUGACAAUUGAUGAAUAAGCCAUUUAGAUAAUUUUACAAUCCCAGAAUAGGUUGCCAACUUAAUGCCUUGUACAUCAUUUUAAUUCCUGUCAAAAAGGUGCAGAGUCAUUGACUUAAAUUGUUCGCACAGACUUGUAGCUUCUGUCUCAUUUUAUAACAGGCGAGCGAAUCACAUAAAGUUGAUUUCUGUAAAUGUCCUACAAAUGUAAUGAAUAAUAAUAUGGUAUAUAACCUAUCAUUUCCCCCACAUAGUUUGGGUAUAUUCUGUAACUGAUAAGGUGCCAUGGACUGACUUGCAAACAUUUGAAACAUGUAGCAGCUUUUGGAACCUCACUCUUUAGUAAAUAGAAUCCUUGUGUUUAGCAUUUACAAAGUAUCAAUACUUUAAAAUGAAUAAUACCAACCUGAAUACAUAAUGUCCCAGUACUGAUCAUUAAUUGUAAUUUAUUAACAUUGCCGAAUGGAAAGAACCGAAACAUGUGACUUUGUAUAUUCACUGAUAAUAAUAUAAAUAAUAAUAUAAUAAAAUAAGUUUCACUCUGGGUAUUGUAUAGUAUCUCCCCAAAUGAAGUCUAUAGGUAAUUCCUAUUCAAUAAUCAGAUUAAAUGUAUGUCUGCUAAAAGAAAUCAGGCCUUUGUGCAUUUAUAUAUCAGCCAAAAUGUUGACUUUUUAUCUUAUUGCAAAGCUGAUUGCAGUCAUUUGUGCAAUAUUAUACAUGUGAUUUGUGAAACCUAUUUAGAUGCACUCAGUACAUUAAUAUAUAUAACAAUUUGCAUUAUUAAUGAAUUAUAAGUUGUUUCACAAUAAAGCUGUCC